GAUGAACGCUGGCGGCGUGCCUAAUACAUGCAAGUCGAGCGAACAGACGAGGAGCUUGCUCCUCUGACGUUAGCGGCGGACGGGUGAGUAACACGUGGAUAACCUACCUAUAAGACUGGGAUAACUUCGGGAAACCGGAGCUAAUACCGGAUAAUAUAUUGAACCGCAUGGUUCAAUAGUGAAAGACGGUUUUGCUGUCACUUAUAGAUGGAUCCGCGCCGCAUUAGCUAGUUGGUAAGGUAACGGCUUACCAAGGCAACGAUGCGUAGCCGACCUGAGAGGGUGAUCGGCCACACUGGAACUGAGACACGGUCCAGGCUCCUACGGGAGGCAGCAGUAGGGAAUCUUCCGCGAUGGGCGAAAGCUUGACGGAGCAACGCCGCGUGAGUGAUGAAGGUCUUCGGAUCGUAAAACUCUGUUAUUAGGGAAGAACAAAUGUGUAAGUAACUAUGCACGUCUUGACGGUACCUAAUCAGAAAGCCACGGCUAACUACGUG
rnacentral:rRNA from 1 species